rnacentral:rRNA from 1 species
AACCGCAAAACAAGCAGAGGGGGCUUAGUGGUGGGGUGACUGCGUACCUUUUGUAUAAUGGGUCAGCGACUUAUAUUCUGUAGCAAGGUUAACCGUAUAGGGGAGCCGGAGGGAAACCGAGUCUUAAUUGGGCGUUAAGUUGCAGGGUAUAGACCCGAAACCCGGUGAUCUAGCCAUGGGCAGGUUGAAGGUUGGGUAACACUAACUGGAGGACCGAACCGACUAAUGUUGAAAAAUUAGCGGAUGACCUGUGGCUGGGGGUGAAAGGCCAAUCAAACCGGGAGAUAGCUGGUUCUCCCCGAAAGCUAUUUAGGUAGCGCCUCGUGAAUUCAUCUCCGGGGGUAGAGCACUGUUUCGGCUAGGGGGCCAUCCCGGCUUACCAACCCGAUGCAAACUGCGAAUACCGGAGAAUGUUAUCACGGGAGACACACGGCGGGUGCUAACGUCCGUCGUGAAGAGGGAAACAACCCAGACCGCCAGCUAAGGUCCCAAAGUCAUGGUUAAGUGGGAAACGAUGUGGGAAGGCCCAGACAGCCAGGAUGUUGGCUUAGAAGCAGCCAUCAUUUAAAGAAAGCGUAAUAGCUCACUGGUCGAGUCGGCCUGCGCGGAAGAUGUAACGGGGCUAAACCAUGCACCGAAGCUGCGGCAGCGA